CGUGUUUCUAAACUUCUUGUGCUGUGUUGAAGCUCAUUUAAGCGUUUAAACUCUUGUAUUGUGGGCAAAAUGGAAAUCAACAAACAAUCAUCUGUCGCUGACAUUAUUCUUUUUUUGAAAAACAACAAAUUGGAUGAAAUUGUCGAAGAUUUUAAAGGUAUUGUCUCAUCCUGAAAUGUAGGUCGCAUGUGUGAGGGUUGUUGUCUCGUGCAUAAAUCUAGUGUAGAAAAUAAUUCAAAAUUAGAUUUAUAGAUGACUUGCCUUGUUUACGUUUUGCUAGCAGGCAGAUUUGGUCGAGCGCUUUUAGAGAAUACCAACAGCAAUAACGUAAUUUCAUUGACGUUUUGCUUCUUAUAUUUUUAAAGCUAAUCAAGUCGACGGCGAGGAUUUUUUCAAUUUAGAACCACAUGAUAUUUAUCAGAUGAUUCCUCGAAUAAAACUUCCCAAGAAGUUUACGUGUAUUUGGAAUGACGUUACUCAAAAGGGGUCAUCAGCUUCAACAACACACUCUUAUGUCACUUCCAACAACAUCAGAACCAUCAACAAGGAUGUGAAUCCAGACAUUCCGAGUAAUUCAGCUGAUCAACAAGAAAAUCAUGAUGAGGGCUUGUCAGAAUCAGCUUGAACAGUGCACUCGCACAUCUAUUCAAGCCACAUAAGAACCAUCAACUUGGAUGUAAAUGAAGACAUUGUUCUUAGUACUUCAGCUGAUCAUCAAAAUGAUGAGAACAUUGCACCAGAGAGACAUCUCAAGGACAAUGUUCCAAGGAGUCCCUUGACAGCUAAUGUGAACAAUUCCAAUUGGUUGUCCAAGUUUUGUUUGCCAACAAGAUGAGAACCAGCAGUGGAGGAGGCAUAAAAAAGGCAGGAACUAAAUCCCAAUGAAAAAAAUGCAUUAAAGAGGCGAUUAACUUCUUCAAUUUUGGCACAUAAUGAAUCGCCAACUGUUCAUGAAAGAAAACACAUUGCUCUUAUGUUAAUUCAAAAGUAUCCAUUCUUAAAGGGAUCAUUUGGUUCUGGUCAUCAACUAUGGGCAAACAAAAUAGCAGACCGAGUCCUUAAUAUGCAAAGAAGAGCAUCCCGAGCUCAAAAGCAAAGUACGCGGUGGCCCAAAGGGAAAACCUGGUAGGAAAAGUAGGAAAUCAGCUUGCAAUUCUCUCUCAUCUCUUCCAGAAGGUGAAACAGAAGCAGCUAUUGUAAUUCAACAAAAGCAGUUGGUUGAAAUGUUUAAUAUUGGCUCGCAAGACAUGAGCAAGAUCAAUGUGUUGAUGAACAAUACCUUUGCUCAUCGGCGUAGAGACAUUUUCGUGAACAAUACAAGGGCUUGGAAGCUUCUGCAUGACUACCUUUUUUCAAACACACCAAGGGAGUUGAAAAUGCAAAAGUGGAAAUAAGGAAUAUUUCAAAACGUAUCUUGGUCGUGCAGAACUUCUCGCUGGCUGGCAGGGAAGGUAGGAUUCGAAGUUAGAUGCACCUGUUAUAUAUUUUCCCUUUCUAAGGUUUUGACAAAUCGGGUCAAUUUAUUUUUUCGCCAUUUGUUGUUAUCGUCGUGUAUUUAGUAUUGUCGUAAAUACACCACAAAGAUUGCCGAAGUUAGCGAGAAUUAACUUUGCCGUUUUUCCGGUUUAUGGGUGAUUGUUCGUAGCUAAGUAGCUAUAAUUGUUAAAACAUGGUUUGACCAUGUUCUGAUUGAAAUUUCGAUGAAGUAUUUGUAUUUCAAAUAUUUCCAAGUUAGAUUCUAAGAAACAAAAGUUUGUUUUUUGUGUGCAAUAUUUAUGCAUGCUUAUUAAAUUAAAAAUCACUCCAACAACGGUUGGUGAUCGGCUCUUUUUUGAGUUUCAAUCAAAAGUUUAUCGUCAGAAUCGUUCACUGCAUAAGGGAAUAGACCGAAAUUGAAUUUGACAAAAAAAAAUACGUUUA